rnacentral:tRNA from 1 species
AACUUUGUAGUGUAAAACCAAACGCACCUUCAAUUGCAAAUUGAAAAGAGACCAAGAAGUCCGAAGUUU